rnacentral:tRNA from 1 species
UGGUCCGAGCCAGUGGUGGCGGCCCCGCCUCCAAAGCGGGAUGCCAGCGGGUUCGACUCCUGCCGGAUCAG